ACUUAUAUUCUGUAGCAAGGUUAACCGAAUAGGGGAGCCGGAGGGAAACCGAGUCUUAAUUGGGCGUUAAGUUGCAGGGUAUAGACCCGAAACCCGGUGAUCUAGCCAUGGGCAGGUUGAAGGUUGGGUAACACUAACUGGAGGACCGAACCGACUAAUGUUGAAAAAUUAGCGGAUGACCUGUGGCUGGGGGUGAAAGGCCAAUCAAACCGGGAGAUAGCUGGUUCUCCCCGAAAGCUAUUUAGGUAGCGCCUCGUGAAUUCAUCUCCGGGGGUAGAGCACUGUUUCGGCUAGGGGGCCAUCCCGGCUUACCAACCCGAUGCAAACUGCGAAUACCGGAGAAUGUUAUCACGGGAGACACACGGCGGGUGCUAACGUCCGUCGUGAAGAGGGAAACAACCCAGACCGCCAGCUAAGGUCCCAAAGUCAUGGUUAAGUGGGAAACGAUGUGGGAAGGCCCAGACAGCCAGGAUGUUGGCUUAGAAGCAGCCAUCAUUUAAAGAAAGCGUAAUAGCUCACUGGUCGAGUCGGCCUGCGCGGAAGAUGUAACGGGGCUAAACCAUGCACCGAAGCUGCGGCAGCGAACGUAUCACUUAAAGCGAUUCAGCGGGUUACGAUUGACGGAGCGAAGCGACGUCAAAGCGUAUACAAAGUCGAGUCGGUUUAAGGAUACGUUCGUUGGGUAGGGGAGCGUUCUGUAAGCCUGUGAAGGUGGCCUGUGAGGGUUGCUGGAGGUAUCAGAAGUGCGAAUGCUGACAUAAGUAACGAUAAAGCGGGUGAAAAGCCCGCUCGCCGGAAGACCAAGGGUUCCUGUCCAACGUUAAUCGGGGCAGGGUGAGUCGACCCCUAAGGCGAGGCCGAAAGGCGUAGUCGAUGGGAAACGGGUUAAUAUUCCCGUACUUGGUGUUACUGCGAAGGGGGGACGGAGAAGGCUAUGUUGGCCGGGCGACGGUUGUCCCGGUUUAAGCGUGUAGGUGUGUGUUCCAGGUAAAUCCGGUUCACUUUAACACUGAGGCGUGACGACGAGGCACUACGGUGCUGAAGCAACAAAUGCCCUGCUUCCAGGAAAAGCCUCUAAGCAUCAGGUAACAUCAAAUCGUACCCCAAACCGACACAGGUGGUCAGGUAGAGAAUACCAAGGCGCUUGAGAGAACUCGGGUGAAGGAACUAGGCAAAAUGGUGCCGUAACUUCGGGAGAAGGCACGCUGACAC
rnacentral:rRNA from 1 species